rnacentral:lncRNA from 1 species
AAAACAUGCAUACAUCCAUUUUCUGUAAUUUCCAUAAGGAAAUCAAAUAGAAUAAAUCUUACUAAAUACAUGAAAAAGAAAAUAGAAAUAGAAGAAGGGAGGGGAAAUUGUUGGUGAGUGUAUGACUGUUGAACAGCGCCGCCGGCGCUACGCGCCACGGCGGCUGGCGGAAGGAGGCAGGGGCGGCGUACGGCGAGAGAGGAAACAGGGGCAGCGGCACCGUGGUCUCUGCCGCUGCUGUGUACUUCCGGUCAGGGCGGAGGGAGAGGCGCUUGGGUUGUGCCGCUGUCGACGCGAGAGGGCGGUAGUGGUGGCGAAGGUCGCCGGAGAAGGAGACGCGGCCGCGGCUUGGCGCGGCGAGGAGAGGCAAGAGACCGAGGGAGAGAGGGAAGGAGAGAGAAGUGGAGCAGUUGCUGUGCGUAAGUGAGUGAAUGAGUGUUAUAUUAGGGGUUGAUAUUAGUCUUUGGGCUUGGGCUUAGGUUAAAUUCAUUUAAUGAGCUGAAUUUACUUAAAUAAUUGGGCUAAUAAUUUUAAUAAAAAUUGGGCUUUUAUUUUAAAUUAAGAUUUAAGCAACAAGAUCAUGCCUUAAAUAUUUUAUUAAUAAGAUCAAUGUAAUUUUAAAGGUUUUAUGUAAAUUUUCUUUAAUUUUUAAAUUAUUUUUACAAGUUCAAAUAGGCCCUUAUGUUUAUUAUUUGAAUUUAUCUGACUAGGUGCGGCGCGACUAGGACAUAACUGUUGAUCUGAAAUUAUUCAAGUUAUCUAUCAAAUCCAUAUUUUCAGGUGUGGGAUUUAUUUCAGUACAUGCACGUGGUUAAUAUUUGUCCAUUUUAAUAUUAUGUGUUUACCGUAUGUGUUGUAAAAAUAUUUAUCGCUAGGGGCCAGCAUAAUUGGUCCAGGACUUCACCGUCCUUGGUAUGCCACAAUGCGAUUUCAUGUUACAGGGUUGCAACCAUUAUAUUGUCGCCAGGGGCCCACAUAUAGGGUCCGGGACAUUAAAGUCCUUGGAGUUGCCACAGUGCGUAUGGAAGUUAUGUUACGUUAUGACAAUAUGUGUUACCAUUUUAUUAACAUGGACAAUUAUUGCAUGUUCCCACACUGAGUGUACCCUGUAUGCUCAUCCCAUAUUCAACAGUUUCAGGUGAUUGAUAUUGGAGGCGCGUGGAGAGUCGAAUGGGCGCGUCGAAUCUAAUUAAAAAUAAAUGUUUCUUAAAACAUAUUAUGUUAUUUCAUUUGAUAUCUUUUGGUUAUGUAAACUCUGAAAUUCUAUACUAUUUGAGAUUUGUGUGUGAUUUGUUUAAAUAAAUGUUAUUAUAUUAUUUUAA